AGUCUUCCGGGAAAUCUGACAGCUCAACUGUUAGGCUUCCGGGGGAUACUGUCAGACUUGGGACCGGGAGAGGUAAGAGGUACUACAGGGGUAGGAGUGAAAUCUUGUAAUCCCUGUGGGACCACCAGUGGCGAAGGCGUCUUACCAGAACGGGUCCGACGGUGAGGGACGAAAGCUGGGGGCACGAACCGGAUUAGAUACCCGGGUAGUCCCAGCCGUAAACGAUGCUCGCUAGGUGUCUGGAAUGGUGCGACCGUUUCAGGUGCCGCAGGGAAGCCGUGAAGCGAGCCACCUGGGAAGUACGGCCGCAAGGCUGAAACUUAAAGGAAUUGGCGGGGGAGCACUACAACGGGUGGAGCCUGCGGUUUAAUUGGACUCAACGCCGGACAACUCACCGGGGGCGACAGCAAUAUGUAGGUCAAGCUAAAGACUUUACCUGAAUCGCUGAGAGGAGGUGCAUGGCCGUCGUCAGUUCGUACUGUGAAGCAUCCUGUUAAGUCAGGCAACGAGCGAGACCCGUGCCCACUGUUGCCAGCAUAUCCUUCGGGAUGAUGGGUACUCUGUGGGGACCGCCGAUGCUAAAUCGGAGGAAGGUGCGGGCUACGGUAGGUCAGUAUGCCCCGAAUCUCCCGGGCUACACGCGGGCUACAAUGGUUGGGACAAUGGGCUCCUACACUGAGAAGUGACGGUAAUCUCAUAAACCCAGCCGUAGUUCGAAUUGAGGGCUGAAACCCGCCCUCAUGA
rnacentral:rRNA from 1 species